AUGUUGAAGAAAGCCCUGCAGAGAGAAAGGAGAAUGAUUAAAAGGGCUCUCCAUGCAACCGAAAGGUAUGAAAUUGUGGACUCUGGUGUAGAGACGGAUGAGGAGGAGGAUGACGAUCAGGAGGGUCUAGAGGAGCAGGACGAGGAUGAUGCCGAUGAGGAGGAGGAGGAGCAAAUAUUGAUUAACGACAAGGAACGUAUAACGGCUCAGGAGCAGGAGGUGGAGCACGCCAGUCGGAACGAUGAGGAUGGACGCGAAAAGGAAAAUGGCGCGGUAGAAGAUGAUGAAGAGGAAACUGAUGAGGAGGAUGAAGAACCAAACACUGAAGGAAACCAUGCGCAUGGUAGCGAAAGAACAGAAAGUGAUGCGGAAAGAUGUUCUCCAUCCCAACGUAGACAAAUCAUCGAUAAUGACCCGUAUAAGACUCCUACACAGCUAGUGAAGCGUUCGAAGAAAGACAAGAUGGAUGGAGCAUUAACAUACCCCAGACAGCAUGUUGCUGCUCAGAGGAUGAAGGGGAAGAACGAGAGAAAGAAAAACAAGAAGAUGCAGCUCGAGAAACUCAACGGGUUUGAAUGA
rnacentral:rRNA from 1 species